CCCCCCCACUCUCGCCCCUCUCCCCCUCUCUUUCCAUGUACCGCACUGCAGCAGCGAACUUAGUUCUAAUCUGCACGAAAGAUUACUGAAGUUAAUCUGGGCAACAACAUGCGCUCGUCCAUUAACAUUUUAGAUGCAAAGUUUAGGACUAACUGAACCAUAGAUUUGCAGAGCAGAUGGCAAGGAACUGGUUAGAAGGUUCAGUUAUGUAACUUUUGGGAAGUACAGUUAGUUAUUGCAUGAUUAAACUACACUUGAGCACCUGUCCCUAGCAGCUCAGAACUAAAUGUAAUGAUUGCCUUACUUUGUAUGCUUUUCUGAAUAAAAUGCAGAGUGUAGAGAUGAUCUGAAAUAAGAGAGGACGAAACUUGUUACUUGUUCCCGGCUGUGUGUCUCUUGUUUCUUAAUAGUCGCAGAUGUAGCUUUUAUUCUUGUUUCUUGUUGCCGAGUCUAGAAAUAACAUGCCCUCGUCAUCUGGCGUCCUUAUCGCCGCGUUCAACCCUGUGCACUAAGACCCCUAGCAGCUGUGACUGGUGUUGGUGCUGCUGUUUGUAUCGCUACAGCAGUGAAGGCCACGGGUCUUGUGAGAUUAUUAAUUAGAUAUAUUUCGGGUUCCAUGGGAGGUAGAGAAUGUGACGUUUAGAAAAAUCAGGGCAGCGGCAAGAUUUCCAAGGAGAGAAAUAUGUUAUUUUGGCUUGUGAUCAUCUAUCAUUGCAUCGUAGACUGACAAAGGUGAUGAAGAAUUGUGUAGUGUCUAUGUGCCAACCAAUCAUCUAUAUAUUGGUGAUACCUUUUUGGUGAACUCUGGAAAUUAUAAGGCCAAUCUGUCCAUUCGAGAAUUAUAUUGGUGAUAUCGUUUUGGUGAACUCUGCGGAAAUUUAAGCUUCUUAUCAUUUCCAUUGUUUUCUUCAAAAAAGAAUUAUUUGAUGUCUUCUAUAGCAUCUCCUUUAAAUGCUAAAUCCUAUCAGCACUUGUGAAUACUAUAUACUGUUCUUGUCUUGACCUUUUUUUCAUCAUCGUUGCAAUUUCAUUUUAUGUCCAGCUAUGAGACUGGUUGGACCUCUCACUCUAUCAUGCUAUGCCAUCGUCCAUUCUCAUACUUUCAAGAGCGUUUAUCGUAUCUGGGAGAAUGAAACAUGAGGAGACUGUUGUAGCAAUAUCGUCUUCUCUACCAUAUGAAGUUGUGGAUAGAGUUGGUACAAUAUUGCCAUAUGAAGAUUCAGUUUUCGAGGAGGAAAAAACUGGAAUUCCUUGAGAUGCAGGAAGAACUUAUCAAGGCGAUGUAUGUCUUACAAAUAUUAAAAAUGGACUAUUUUUACAUCAUCCGUUAAUGCAGCCAUGAUACUUGCCGUAGAUAUGAAACUCACAUUGGUCGUACUUCUGGUAAGCUAAUAGUAAGUGGGGCAUGAGUAAUUCAUAUUAUGGACUUCUUUUGUCUGACACCCCAUGUAACAUACGCUACUAUUGCAUGUCCUUCCACGUGCUUGUUUUGUCA